UAACAAAUACACUCGGUUUUUGGGGUAACGGUAGUCGCUUGCACAGGGAAAUUGCAGUCGAACAUAACCUAUUAACCUUCGGGCACAUGCCUGCAAACGUCGAGUGACAGCGUGAACAUUACGAUGUUUCGUUAUAGGACGAGAAAAACAGAAAGAAAAAAAUGGUCUUCAGACGAGCUCAGAGCAGCUAUCGGGGCAGUAAAAGCUGGAAUUCCCAUUCGUCAGGCUGUGACUGCAUUAAACGGGGACAUGUCUGCAAACGUCGAGUGACAGCGUAAACAUUACGAAAAAAAAUGUCUUUAGAACCAAAAUGG